rnacentral:rRNA from 1 species
UACAUAGACGGCGAGCGUUAUCCGGAAUUAUUGGGUGUAAAGGGUGCGUAGGCCGUUUGAUAAGUUAGUGGUGGGAAAUCAAGGCUCAACCUUGUGGAAUCCGCUAAUACUAUCAGACUAGAGAGUGGGGGAGGUCGACGGAAUUCUACGUGGAGGGGUAAAAUCCAUUGAUAUGUAGUGAGAACAUCAAAGGCGAAGGCAGUCGAUCAUCUCAUAUCUGACGUUGAGGCACGAAAGCAUGGGGAGCGAAAAGG